AAGAAAGAAAGAAAGAAAGAAAGAAAGAAAGAAAGAAAGAAAGAAAGAAAGAAAGAAAGAAAGAAAGAAAGAAAGAAAGAAAGAAGAGCAAGGGAAAGGGGAAGCAGAGAACAAGAGCAGAGUGCUUAAAUGCCAGAGAAAAGGGGAGUCAGUUCUUGGAGGACUGGAAAAAGCUGCAGAAGAAGGAGUAGGAAGAACCCCCAGUACAGUCAAAGAGAAGUUCCUACAAGACAGAAGAUGAAAAAUAAAAUUUCAAAUGUUAGCAAUUACUUUCAGGAUGUUUUCAGCCAUUACUAGUGUGUUGUCAUGGGUAGAAAAAGGUGUCACAGCAUCAAAGGAACCAAGGAAUGUAAUGAAGAAAGAAAUUAGAAGAGUAAUUUGCAUCUAUUUGGUGGUAUAAUCUUCAGAGGCACUUUUGUUAAUUGGCAGGCUUGGGCUGUACAUAUUAGAAUACUCAGAGUCUGGUGGAAGUCUCCAGAGGUUUUGCUCUAGGCAGCAAUUUGGAUGGCCACAGAACAUUUCUAUAGUCUUGCAGUUUAUCAGCAAAAUGAGUUAUUUUUCCUUCAUCGCUUUAAACUUGACAGUCAAAAAGAAAAAAGACCAACUUCUUUCAGAAGCCUGUUUCUUUGAGCAAACAGAACACUGAAAAGCUCAUCUUUUCUUGCAGGACUUUUGAUAAGAUGAUGAUAACAGCAUACCUCUAUUCACUGGGGUGUGACUAUCAGUGUACCUAGUCUUAGCUGUGAACAUUUGUUCUUCUCUUGUGUUGUGUUUUUUACUCCUUUUUCUAUUUUCCUUUUACGAGUGUUUAGAGGUCUAGAUAUCUGUUCUGAAAUAAGUAAAUAAAUAAGUAAUAUAUAAAGAGACAGAGGGAGUAAUCCCCUGCUUCACAGAAGUCAAUGGAGACAGAACAGCAGCAAAUUUAGUGCACCUUCUGAUAUUGUUUGUCAUUUCAGGUAUUAUUUAGAUUGAGUUUUAUUUAUUACUAGCAUCUACAAUUUCCAAUGGCAAAAGUUGAGCACUUAAAUCCAUACCUUAUAUGAAUGAAAAAAAAAAAAAAAAAAAAAGUCUUUGAUAUUCAGAGACUUUACAUGUAUCAGUUUCUCUUAAACUGAGGUUUGAGUAAAACCAAAUUUGUUUUCCUAUCUAUUUUAUUUAUUUAUUUUUAAACUAGAGGCAUAGAACUUUUCUUCCCUUGUGCAGACACUUCUCCAGUUGUAAGGUUUUUUUUUUUCCCAUUCUUUCUGCUUUUUAUUUCCUUCAUCUGGGACUUUUUCUGUCACCAGGUUGUCCUUUUCCCUGGGUGUGCCUCCUGCUUCAGAAUAUACCAUGUCUCUGCCCAUUCCCUGAGCUCCCAGCUCCAUUCAUUAGCUGGGUAAUUGCCUGCAACUAUUUCACCUGAAAAUGUUACUUUCUUCCAGUCCAAUCUCUUAUCGCUGCUGGAGCCAAAUUGAGUUAUAAGGUCUAAAAUUAUCCCUGAGGACAACUCUGCUGAGGUAAAUACAGUGGAUUUAACUCUGUAUUUUUCCUUAUAUAUCAACGUUUAUUUUUAAAAAUCUCAGCUUGAACAUACUUGUUUUCAAAAUGCAUUUUAAUUGAAAAGUAUGAACAGAAGAGCUUGUUCAUUCCGUUUGACUAACACCUAUUCUUUUCACACAGCAGCUGUACCAAAUACAAAAUUUUUUAAUCAAAGCGAGCAGACUGCUAUCACAGUUUACUUGCUUUUCCUCUUAUUACUGAUCUUUUGCUGUAACCAUGGAUCUACCUGAGUUUUGUGUGUAUUAAAGUUGUGUUGUUGAAAAACUGCUGAACAAAUUUGCCUGCAACAGUCUCAGAUGAAGAUUUUUCAAAGGAUGUGGCUGAAACAAAGAGGUAUACACCAUUCCAUAAAUAAACCCUCCUAAGUGUAAAUUGUGACCAUCCCUCUCUCCAUCUGAACACUUCAAGCUUUUCAGAAAGUUGCUUUUAUGUAAGAUUAGAGAGCUGUCUCCAUGACAUGAUGCUUUGCUUCUCUUCACCAUUAGUUGGGCGUUAGUUGUUCUGGCUCUAAAUAGACAGGCACAGAUGGUACCACGACUCUCCGAGCCUCCACACAUCUUGCACUGCAGGGAUUUUUGUUAUUCUUGUUAUCUCUCUAGCAGCUCCUACUCUUUCCUAACAGUUUGUUGAGAAGAAAAGGGAAGGCUAAAGAACAAUCAGUCCCUUUCCUCUCUAGGAUUGAUGAAGCCUUUAGACAGGAUUUCAGCAUUCAUUUUGACUUUAUUCUUUGUUAGGGGAACCCAACUAUGGGAUCCUCAAUGAAGUAAAUUUUCUGCCAGCCUCGCCAGGUGAAGUCAGUCCUCCCUGAGAAUGUUGAUCAGAACUAGAUGCCCCAAUGGCAUUAAACUGCAACACUCGAACAGCACAUGGACUCUCUCUGCAUAUCUUCCCUUAGUGCCUUGCAGCUCUGAUCACUACACACCGCAAAGAAACAUGGCAGACUUAAAUCUUGAAGCUUAUAUCACAAAAGACUGCCUUGGUGCACAAGAACAGUGUUUGCAGGGAAAACACCACAGGUACAAUUAGCAGCACUGAAUCUGGAGACAGGAUGAAUAAGAAGGACAUGACAGAAUCGUAGUUCCACCAGCGCACGUCACAGAGAAGGUUCUCCAUGAUCUUCCUUUACAAUGUUGGUGAAUGCAAGCAGUCAGUGACAUGGCAAGAGGUGGACUGGUCACCUGCUCCUUGACAGUAGUUUCUGCAUUGUCAUAUGUGAAGCUACAAAUGAGAAGAAUAGUGGAACAGGUGCAUGGAGGAGUUCUUCAAUGAGUUCGAACUUCCCUGCUCCAUCAUGCUUGUGCAGCUUAAUUUCACCCUUGCAAAACACUGUAAUAACAUAAAAUUGGCCAGGGCUCCUCCAAGUGUGAUUUUAGGAGAGUAGUUCUAUCUGUGCAAGCCUCUUACCUCUUCUAGACACCGACUCAAGGGCUAACUCCUUGGAAACAUAGACAUCUUCAUCAACUACUCUGCUGUGUGUAUCUGAACAAAGCAAAGGCUUCCUCAAUAAAAAGAU